rnacentral:rRNA from 1 species
GAGCAGCGCCGCGUGAGGGAUGAAGGCCUCUGGGCUGUAAACCUCUUUUCUCAAGGAAGAAGACAUGACGGUACUUGAGGAAUAAGCCACGGCUAAUUCCGUGCCAGCAGCCGCGGUAAUGCGGGAGUGGCAAGCGUUAUCCGGAAUUAUUGGGCGUAAAGCGUCCGCAGGCGGCCUUGUAAGUCUGUCGUCAAAGCGUGGAGCUCAACUCCAUUUAAGCGAUGGAAACUACAAGGCUGGAGUGUGGUAGGGGCAGAGGGAAUUCCCGGUGUAGCGGUGAAAUGCGUAGAUAUCGGGAAGAACACCAGUGGCGAAGGCGCUCUGCUGGGCCAUAACUGACGCUCAUGGACGAAAGCCAGGGGAGCGAAAGGGAUUAGAUACCCCUGUAGUCCUGGCCGUAAACGAUGAACACUAGGUGUCGGGGGAAUCGACCCCCUCGGUGUCGUAGCCAACGCGUUAAGUGUUCCGCCUGGGGAGUACGCACGCAAGUGUGAAACUCAAAGGAAUUGACGGGGGCCCGCACAAGCGGUGGAGUAUGUGGUUUAAUUCGAUGCAACGCGAAGAACCUUACCAGGGUUUGACAUCCUGCGAAUCCCUUGGAAACGAGGGAGUGCCUUCGGGAGCGCAGAGACAGGUGGUGCAUGGCUGUCGUCAGCUCGUGUCGUGAGAUGUUGGGUUAAGUCCCGCAACGAGCGCAACCCACGUCUUUAGUUGCCAGCAUUCAGUUGGGCACUCUAGAGAGACCGCCGGUGAUAAACCGGAGGAAGGUGUGGAUGAUGUCAAGUCAUCAUGCCCCUUACAUCCUGGGCUACACACGUACUACAAUGCUACGGACAAAGGGCAGCAAGCUCGCGAGAGUAAGCAAAUCCCAUAAACCGUGGCUCAGUUCAGAUCGUAGGCUGCAACUCGCCUACGUGAAGGAGGAAUCGCUAGUAAUCGCAGGUCAGCAUACUGCGGUGAAUACGUUCCCGGGCCUUGUACACACCGCCCGUCACACCAUGGAAGUUGGCCAUGCCCGAAGUCGUUACUCCAACCCUUGUGGAGGAGGACGCCGAAGGUGGGGCUGAUGACUGGGGUGAAGUCGUAACAAGGUAGCCGUACCGGAAGGUG